GCCUGCCGGGAAAGUGAGUCUGCGGGCAGAGUGGCGCCUGAGGGGCGCAGAGGCGUGUGGGGCCCCAGGAGCUAGAAGUUCUGGCAAGUUUUUAGUGGUAUUAGUGAAGUGAAUAAUAAUGCUCAGGACAGAAACGCAGGAUGAAUUGUGUGCUUCUUCCCCGAAGGUAUGUUAAGUUCCAGCCUGCUGUGACUAAAUAAUGUGAUCUUGGAAAACAAGCAAGAGACCUUGUAGAAAAGUUAAUCAAGAUGAGUUUAUAUUGAAACAGGAGAUAUUGGCUUCUCCAAACUUUCUCAGUCCUAGAAUAUAAAUGGCUACUCCUACUUCUCAGCUCAGGAAAAUUCCCAGAUGGAGUACAACUGGAUCGAAUGGGACCUUCAAACCUUGUUUUCUGAGGAAUUUCCACAGUGAUUGUACCAGUCUACACUCCCACCAAUAGUGGAGAAGAGUUCUUUUUCUACCCAUCGCCCCACCAGCAUGUUAUUAGUUGAUUUUUUUUCAUGGCAGCCAUUCUUUUUGGAGUAAGAUGGAAUCUCAGUGUUGUUUUAAUUUGCAUUUCUUGAAUGACUAGUGAUAUUGAACAUUUUUUCAUAUAUUUAUUCACCAUUUGUACUUCAUCUAAGAAGUACAUAUUCAUCUCAGAUGCCACUUUUUGGAUAGAGUCUUUGAAUUUAGAGGUCUUAAUUUUUUUAUUUCUUUAUGUAUUGUAGAUAGAAGUCUUUUGUCUGAGGGACAGUUGACUAAAUUGUUUUUACCAUUGUGUGGGUUUUCUUUUCACUCUGGUGGUGAUUUCUUUUGAUAUGCAAAAACUUUUUAAUAAGGUGAGAUUGCAGUUGUUGAUUCUUUGAGGUACUUCUGGUGUAGUUUGGAUUUUGUUCAUGAACUGUCUGCCUACCCCAAGGUCUUCAAGAUUUUCACCUACCUUGUCUUCUAGUAGAUACAGGAUUUCUGUUUUAAUAUUUAGAUAUUUGAUCCAUUUUGACUUUAGUGGAUGGUGAUAGACAUGGGUCUAGUUUCAGUCUUCAGCAUGUGGAAAGCCAGUUUUUCCAGAACCAUUUAUUAAAGAGAUUACCUUUCUUACAGUGACCAUGGUUGGCCCCUUUGUCAAAGGUAAGGUGGCUGAGCAUAUUUGUAGUUGUACCUGCAUCUUCUAUUCUGUUCCACUGAUCUUGAGGUCUGUUUUUUUGCCAGUACCAUGCUGACUUUAUCACAAUAGCUUUGUAGUAUAGUUUCAAAUCAGGGAUUGUGGUAUCUCCUGCCUUGUCAUUGUUGCCCAAAAUUGCCUUAGCUAUUCUAGGUCUCUUCUGUUUCCAAAUGAAUUUUAGGAAUGUUUUUUCUAAAUCUGUGAGAUAUGCUAGUGGUAUUUUGAUCAGGAUUGCAUUAAAUCUAUAUCACAGUUUGUGAGUAUGACCAUUUUCACAAUGUUGGUUCUUCCUAACCAUAAGCAAGGAAUAUCUUUCCGUUUUUCUGAUAUCCUUUUCAAUUUCCUUUUCAGAAUAGUGUUGUUUUCAAUAUAUAGAUGUUUUACAUCCUUUGUUAGAUUGAUUCCUAAAUAUUUCAUUUUUGGAGAUGCUAUUGUGAAAGGUGUUAUUUACAUUAUUAGUGAGUUUGUUGUUUGUGUAUAGGAAGGCUAUUGAUUUUUGUGUGCUGACAUUGUAUCCAACUAUGCUGCAGAAUUUGCUUAUUAACUCUAGAAGUCUUUUGAUGGAGCUUUUAGGAUCUUCUAUGUAGGGUACCACGUCAUCUGCAAAUAAUGACAAUUUAACUUCUUCCUUUCCUAUCCUUAUUCCUUUUAUUUUUCUUUCUUGUUUAAAGGCUUUGCCUAGCAUUUCCAGAACUAUAUUGAAUGGAAGAGGUGAUAGUGGACAUCCCUGUCUUAUUCCUGAUUUUAGAGUGAAAGCUUUCCAUUUUUGUUCAGUUAGUAUGAUGUUGGCUGUUGGUUUGUCGUAGAUGGCUUUUAGCGGAUUGAAGUAGAGACCAUCUGUUUUGAUUUUCUGUAGAGUUUUUUUUUUUUUUUUUAUUAUGAACGAGUGUUGAGCUUUCUCAAAAACUUUUUCUGCGUUUAUUGAGAUGAUAAUGUGAGUUUUGUCUUUGGCUCUGUUAAUAUGGUGUAUUAUGCUUAUUGAUUUGCAUCUGUUGAAUUAUCCCUGCAUUCCAGGGAUGAAUCCCAUUUGGUCAUGGUGUAUAAUCCUCUUGAUGAUUUGCUGUAGUCUGUUUGCUUAUAUUUAUUGCAGGUUUUUUGCAUUUAUGUUCAGUAGGGAGAUUGGCCUAUAGUUCUCUCUUUUGGUUGUGUCUUUCUCUGUUUUUGGUAUCAGUAAUACUUGCCUCCAGGAAUGAGAUAGGGAGAAUUGCUUCCCUUUCAAUUUCAUUAAAGAGUUUGAGGAAUAUUGGCAUUAAAUCUUCUCUAAAUUUCUUGUAGAAUUCAGCAGAAAAUCCAUCAGGACGUGGGCUUUUCUUUGUUGCCCAAGCAAGUAAAGAUUUUCAAAUGUCUUGCAGUAUGACUGGCCUUCAUCCAGUUGCCAGGUUCCACAAUGUAGGAGGAGGACCAGUCACCUGAAUUCCUCCUGCAGGGCCAGGUUAAAAACAGCUGAGCUGUUGUGCAGUUGAGAGGACGAAGGACGAUCCCUGUGAAAAAAGUGAAGAGAAAUUCUAUUCCUGGAAAGAGAAGAACUACAUUUAAAUUCAAGUAUAGCUCAGUAAUGAGUAUGGAGUCUGAACUUCCACCCCAACCCCCCAAAUUCUUUUAAGUAUAUGUUAAAACUUAAUUAUGUACCAAGUACUGGACUAGCUAUUGGGGAUUAACUGGGUAACUGUUUUAGGAGAUCUAUAACCUAGUGAGUAAUUAAACAUUAAGUAAAUAUGUAGAAGUUUUUUAACUUGCUUAGGAACAAGUUAAAUAAGAGUUUCUGUGGAUAUAUAUAAUGGAGAAAAUUUAAGUUAGUGGAUCAGGGAAGGCUUUUGUCAGGAAGUGAUGCCUAUGCUGGACACUAAAAAUGUAUAAAAAUUAGUUAGAUGAAAAAGUAAGGCAGAGGUGUUCUAAAUGUUUGAAGAUCCAGAAGAAAAAGAACACAAGGAUGCUCAGGGGCACAAGCACCUGUGCGGCGAGUGCAAGAUUGUGAGUUUGAACCCUGGUACCAAAAACAAACAAAUGAACACAUGAGGACAUUUUUGGACUAGAGAAAAAUUCACUGUGACUGCAGAAAAAGGGAUGAAUGCGAAGUGGAGAAUGUUUAAUAAAAUCUGGAGUGCUGCAUGAAUCACAUUGUGCCUGACCAUGUAAAGCAUAUGAACAAUUUUGGAAUUUGUUUUAAAAGGCAAUAGGAGGCCAUUGUAGUCUUUUUGGUAGAGGAAUAAUAUGAUCAGAUUUGCUUUUUUAAAUAGAUCUCUUUAACUUAGCUUGUGGAAAAUAGGUAGAAAAAGUAAGAGUACAGUCAAGGAGAUCAAUUGAGAAACUUGGGAUAGUAUAAUAAAAUAGUGACUUGGAAGAGGUGGCGAUUUGUUUGAAUAUUCAACAAAUAUUUAUUAAAUAUUUUCACAGUCCUGACAGGAAGCUCAUGGCAUACUCAAACUAUGUAAGAUGUAGGCUGGUUUUAGGACCCCCCAAGGUACAGGACACCAGGUUAGCAAUAUUGGCUCCAUUACUACCUUUAGGCUUGAAGACUGGGAAGCAGUUCCUUGGGGAAAGGGAAGCUAGGCAAGAUAGCUGCGUGUAUGGUUUGGAGCAAUGUAUGGAGAGGGUAGGAAGUGCAGGAAGGGGCCUGGAGGAAUCAGUAAGUACUGUCUUUUUCUCCUUUUCAUCUUUUGCUGGUGCUUUGUAGCUGUUAUCUAGAGACAAGAAGGCAGUGAAGCCUAGUAUUUGGGGACAGAACAGAACAGAGAAGGAUGGAGUGUGUAUCUGAAGAGGUAAACAAAACAACAGUAACAACAAAACAUAGUAUACGUCUGCAUUCAUAUUGCGUACAUUCUAAGAAAGUUAUAUUUUAAAAAGAUUCGUGUAUGUUUGCACUAUAUAAUGAUUACAUUCAUCGUGGUACAUGUGCAUAACGCAUCUUUAUUCUUUUUACUUCCCAUUCCCUCUCUUCUGCCUCCUGCUAUCUUAAACUAUCUUAAACUCCUGCACACCCCUGGGGGCACACAGUCAUUUUCUAGGAAAUACACGUUUGGAUAACUUUAUGGUAGUUUAUUUCAUGACUUCAACUUUUGUAUGUCUCCUUUUCCAAAUUGAAAUACCCAAGAAAAUAUCUGUGGUAGAAGUAUCAUUUUUGUCCUUUUCAACUUGCUUCUUCCUAUUGACCUAUUACUUUUAUUUUUUUUCUAUUACUUGAAAACUAUUUCUCUUGACCAUCUGAAAUCUUACUGUAGUGCAUUGCUCUGUUUAUGAAAUCCAGGGGUCAAUCAAAGGAACAAAUUAAAAUAUUGGUGCCUAUGAGUCUUCCUUAUCCAUGUUUAUAUGAAAUUGUGGUUAAGGGUGAAAUAUCACUUUGAAAAUGUUAUUUUUGGCUCAUGACAGAAUAUUCUGAAGUCAGAUAUAUUGUAGUAAAAAUAAUGUUUGUUUAAUGACUUCAUUUAACUUCUAACAAUCGUUAAUACAAAGAAACAUGUUGUUUUUAAAGGAAAAUAUUGAGAAAAUCAUAGAAAUUUUGGUAAGAAAUGUAGGAGUUGAUAAUUUUAUCUAUAUGACAAAUUCAUGGCAAUGUAAUAAACUCGUUUAUCAUCUAUCUAAUGUAGCUUGGAAUGUUAAAGAUUUAUAAAACUCAUGCUGAGAAUAUAAUCUCUUACCUUUUGUGUCUGCAUUCUUAUUAAUUUCCGUAAUGAGAAAAAACUUAAUGAACUGUUUAUUGGUGUCAGUUGCAUGUUUCAUAUAAUUUCAGAAAUUAGAAGGAAAUUUUAUGUUUAUUUUCAACAUUUUAAUGUUACAUAUAAGAGAAAAAAUAAUGAAUGUGUUGGAGGUAAAUUAAUCUUGAACAUUUAUUCUGGUGAGAAAUGUUUUAUAUUUUCCCCUUUUAAAUAACUUUAUUGAGGUAAAAUUUCCAUACCAUAAAUUUGUUUCAUUAGCUUUUGAACAAAGUUUAGAUAUUAUAAAUAUAUACUCUUUUUCUUAACCUUUGGCUAAAAGUCUUUUACUUGUCAUUUUUCAACUAAUUCUCAUGUCAUUUUUCUCAUUCAUGCCAUGUAGAUUGGAGACUUAGAUUAGCUUUACUUGAAGGUGUUACUUCUAUUGUAAAUAAUGCCUUCAACAACAGGUAUACUUUUUAAUUCCUUCACUUCCAAGUGGCCCACUAACUUUUCUUUUUGCUGAUUUAUACUGAACCCAGUCUCAUCAUUGGAUAUAAUAUUCAUUUAAGAAUAAAUGAACUAAUUAAAAAUCUGCUGUGUCCAUAUCUUUAGAUGUAUUUUCAGUGAAAUGUUUAUUUUUUAUGUUUUAGAAUUAUUCAUACUACUAAUUUCUUUUGUUCAUUGAAGGGAUCAGUUGCUGCUUAUAUAGGCUGAUUAAUUUUGCAUGUCUAUAUCUUAUAAUCUGAGCAACUACCUUGAGGAUAACAAUAUGUAAUAUGUUAAUGAUUGCUAAUUUCUUAUCCUGUUUUGAAACCCUAUUAUUAUUUUUAUUUUUGUUUCUCUUAAAAAAAUAAUUAUCCAUCAGCAAGUCAUGGUGGUACAGUCUAUCAAUAAUUUCAGCAGGAUUAUAAAUUUCAGAAUUUGCCUUAAAAAAUAAACAAAAUAAAAAAAUAAAAAGCUUGAUCACAAA